rnacentral:rRNA from 1 species
UACGUAGGGUGCGAGCGUUGUCCGGAAUUAUUGGGCGUAAAGAGCUCGUAGGCGGUGUGUCACGUCGGCCGUGAAAACCUGCAGCUUAACUGUGGGCGUGCGGUCGAUACGGGCAUCACUGGAGUUCGGCAGGGGAGACUGGAAUUCCUGGUGUAGCGGUGAAAUGCGCAGAUAUCAGGAAGAACACCAACGGCGAAGGCAGCUCGCUAGGACGGAACUGACGCUGAGGCGCGAAAGCGUGGGGAUCAAACAGG